UAUAUUUCAUGUUUGUUUAUAGAUGCCCCACCUGCACUUGUUUUUGAUGUAUUGUUUAGCAUUGGUUUGUGCUGGGCCUUACAUCAUUGAUGGGCUAUCAUAGUAUUAUAUUGCUGAUGCUACGUCUGAAUUGUUAUGGUUCUUCUCAGAAGAAUGCUUGGCAUGUUGAGACCUGGUCGAGUCUGUCGUAGCUUCAUAGAUGGACAUACUGAUUCAUGGCCCAUGUAUCGGGAGGCCCUUGCCAAUACCCAGCCCUAGUUUCAGUGUACACAAAAAUGUUCCAACAUAAGCAGAUGAUGUCACCGGAUGCUCCUUAUGUGAGUCAUCUCAUGACUUAACAGCCUCUAG